CCCGCGAGGGGGGGAGCUAAUCCCCAUAAAAACCAUUCGUAGUCCGGAUCGCAGUCUGCAACUCGACUGCGUGAAGUCGGAAUCGCUAGUAAUUCGCGGAUCAGAAUGUCGCCGGUGAAUACGUUCCCGGGUCUUGUACACACCCGCCCGUCACACCAUGGGAGCGGGUUCUGCCAGAAGUAGUUAGCCUAACCGCAAGGAGGGCGAUUACCACGGCAGGGUUCGUGACUGGGGUG
rnacentral:rRNA from 1 species